rnacentral:rRNA from 1 species
GRWCGUUAUCGGAUUACUGGGCGUAAGCGCACGCAGGCGGUUGAUUAAGUUAGAUGUGAAAUCCCCGGGGCUUAACCUGGGAAUGGCAUCUAAGACUGGUCAGCUAGAGUCUUGUAGAGGGGGGUAGAAUUCCAUGUGUAGCGGUGAAAUGCGUAGAGAUGUGGAGGAAUACCGGUGGCGAAGGCGGCCCCCUGGACAAAGACUGACGCUCANGUGCCGAAAGCGUGGGGAGCAACAGGAUUAUAUACCCUGGUANUCCNCGCUGSNANNAUUCCUUUGAAGGGCUGCCCCGAAGAAUCGUGGGGAASCAACGWUUAYCCUCGGGGCGGAAGUAAUCGUGGWUAAAAUYGGUAUC